rnacentral:rRNA from 1 species
GAUGAACGCUGGCGGCGUGCCUAAUACAUGCAAGUCGAGCGAACAGAUGAGGAGCUUGCUCCUCUGACGUUAGCGGCGGACGGGUGAGUAACACGUGGAUAACCUACCUAUAAGACUGGGAUAACUUCGGGAAACCGGAGCUAAGACCGGAUAAUAUAUUGAACCGCAUGGUUCAAUAGUGAAAGACGGUUUUGCUGUCACUUAUAGAUGGAUCCGCGCCGCAUUAGCUAGUUGGUAAGGUAACGGCUUACCAAGGCAACGAUGCGAAGCCGACCUGAGCGGGUGAUCGGACACACUGGAACUGAGACACGGUCCAGACUCCUACGGGAGGCAGCAGUAGGGAAUCUUCCGCGAUGGGCGAAAGCCUGACGGAGCACCGCCGCGUGAGGGAUGAAGGUCUUCGGAUCGUAAAACUCUGUUAUUCGGGAAGAACAAAUGUGUAAGUAACUAUGCACGUCUUGACGGUACCUAAUCAGAAAGCCACGGCUAACUACGUG